rnacentral:rRNA from 1 species
UACGUAGGCAGCGAGCGUUGUUCGGAGUUACUGGGCGUAAAGGGUGUGUAGGCGGUUGUUUAAGUUUGGUGUGAAAUCUCCCGGCUCAACUGGGAGGGUGCGCCGAAUACUGAAUGACUCGAGUGUGGGAGAGGUGAGUGGAAUUCCUGGUGUAGCGGUGAAAUGCGUGGAUAUCAGGAGGAACACCGGUGGUGUAGACGGCUCACUGGACCAUAACUGACGCUGAGACACGAAAGCGUGGGUAGCAAACAGG